UCUGGUCCUUUUGUGCCCGCAGCCGCGGUAAUACGUAGGGAGCGAGCGUUGUCCGGAAUGCCUGGGUGUAAAGGGAGCGUAGGCGGGAUGGCAAGUCAGAUGUGAAACCUGAGGGCUCAACCUUCAGACUGCAUUUGAAACUGCUGUUCUUGAGUGAAGUAGAGGUAAGCGGAAUUCCUGGUGUAGCGGUGAAAUGCGUAGAGAUCAGGAGGAACAUCGGUGGCGAAGGCGGCUUACUGGGCUUUUACUGACGCUGAGGCUCGAAAGCGUGGGGAGCAAACAGG
rnacentral:rRNA from 1 species